ensembl:lncRNA
CCCGAGGGAAGCUCGGAAAGCUAAGUAGAAGUUAUUUGGAGAGGAGAGGAUAAUGGCUGCUGAAGAAAGAAUGCCGUUGGUUGAAAAGAGGCAACGUGAGGGAUCCCAUGUAUCCGAUAUUACUAAACAAAGACGUCAGGCUUGCAUUGCAGCGGUGAGACGAGCGGAUCGAGUUCUGUGCAAUCCCCAGCUUUUUGUUGGUUUGGUCUCCGCAUCUUUUUUCCGGCUUUUAUGCAGCUGCAGAGUCUGAAGGUGUGCCCGUGCAGAAGUAAUCGAUGAAGAUCUGACAGAAGAACAACAACAAAAUUACAAUGUCAUAGCUGUGGACAGCAGUUGUGUUGGACAAGUGGAGGUUGAGGUACCACCUGUAAAUGUGGACAGUGGUGAUGGGACAGACAGCAUCACAGAAGCUAAAGGGCAGACGAAGCAUUGUGUGUGCAAUGAACAGGGCAGAGCAGAAAUAAACACAACACUGCUUGAUAAGAUUGUUAAGGUUUGCUGUGUUUUGGUGAAUAUGUGCCCCAGUGUGGUUGUCAAACCAGCGCCAAAUGAAACUUGCUCUUGUUGAGUAUUCAUAAAGCUGUUGUGUUGCAUGUGUAGUUCAUUGUAAAUAAUUGUACUUUGUGUGAAGUAAUUUCAAUAAAAC